CAGUAGCCGCGGGAAUACGUAGGUGGCAAGCGUUGUCCGGAAUUAUUGGGCGUAAAGGGCUCGCAGGCGGUUUCUUAAGUCUGAUGUGAAAGCCCCCGGCUCAACCGGGGAGGGUCAUUGGAAGCUGGGAAACUUGAGUGCAGAAGAGGAGAGUGGAAUUCCACGUGUAGCGGUGAAAUGCGUAGAGAUGUGGAGGAACACCAGUGGCGAAGGCGACUCUCUGGUCUGUAACUGACGCUGAGGAGCGAAAGCGUGGGGAGCGAACAGGAUUAGAUACCCCGGUAGUCCCUGUCUCUUAUAC
rnacentral:rRNA from 1 species